GACGAACGCUGGCGGCGUGCUUAACACAUGCAAGUCGAACGGUGAAGGGGUCUGCUUUUGUGGGCCCUGGAUGAGUGGCGAACGGGUGAGUAACACGUGAGUAACCUGCCCCCUUCUUCUGGAUAACCGCAUGAAAGUGUGGCUAAUACGGGAUAUUCUGGGUCUGUCGCAUGAUGGGUCUGGGAAAGAUUGCGCCUUUGGGUGUUUUUGGUGGGGGAUGGGCUCGCGGCCUAUCAGCUUGUUGGUGGGGUGAUGGCCUACCAAGGCGGUGACGGGUAGCCGGCCUGAGAGGGUGGACGGUCACACUGGGACUGAGACACGGCCCAGACUCCUACGGGAGGCAGCAGUGGGGAAUAUUGCACAAUGGGCGCAAGCCUGAUGCAGCGACGCCGCGUGAGGGAUGGAGGCCUUCGGGGUGUAAACCUCUUUCGCCAGUGAAGCAGGCCUGCUCCUUGUGGGUGGGUUGACGGUAGCUGGAUAAGAAGCGCCGGCUAACUACGUA
rnacentral:rRNA from 1 species